ensembl:lncRNA
UAGAUCGACCAUAUAAAUCUUUAUGUUCAGAGCUGUCAGACUUGGGGUCAAGCUCCAGAGUGCUCUUCCUCCAGGUCAAGCUCCAGUGUGCUCUUCCUCCAGGUCAAGCUCCAGUGUGCUCUUCCUCCAGGUCAAGCUCCAGUGUGCUCUUCCUCCAGGUCAAGCUCCAGUGUGCUCUCCCCCAGGUCAAGCUCCAGUGUGCUCUUCCCCCAGGUCAAGCUCCAGGGUACUCUUCCCCCAGGUCAAGCUCCAGUGUGCCCUUCCUCCAGGUCAAGCUCCAGUGUGCUCUUCCUCCAGGUCAAGCUCCAGUGUGCUCUUCCCCCAGGUCAAGCUCCAGGGUACUCUUCCCCCAGGUCAAGCUCCAGUGUGCCCUUCCUCCAGGUCAAGCUCCAGUGUGCUCUUCCUCCAGGUCAAGCUCCAGUGUGCUCU